AUAUCAGUAAUCAUUUUAAUUCAGGUGGUAUGCGAAACUUAUUGUGAAAAUCGGUGUUAAUAUGUCACCUCAUCAUCAUCAUCAUCUCAGCCAUAGGACGUCCACUGCUGAACAUAGGCCUCCCCCAAUGCUUUCCAUGUUACCCGGUUGGUAGCGGCCUGCGUCCAGCGCUUUCUUGCCACCUUUAUGAUGUCAUCGGUCCACCUUGUGGGUGGACGUCCCACGCUGCGUUUUCCGGUACGCGGCCUCCACUCCAGAACCUUGCUGCCCCAUCGGCCGUCAGUUCUGCAUACUAUGUGCCCUGCCCAUCGCCACUUUAGCUUGCUAAUCCGUCGGGCUAUGUCAGCGACUUUAGUUUGUUUACGGAUCUCCUCAUUUCUGAUUCGAUCUCGUAAAGAAACACCGAGCAUAGCCCUCUCCAUAGCUCCAACUUUGAGCUUCUGGCUUCUGGUCACAGGCAUCACAGGGUGAGAGGCCACGUUUCCGAACCAUAAGUCAUCACUGGUAAUAUGUCUGUCACCUACAUAAAUAUUAAUGUAACAAACCAAAUAAUGAUUUGAAAAAUCAAUUUAAGGUAUAGGUACAGCGACUGCCUCUUUCAUCCAACUCAGAGACAAAAACUUUGACGAAGACGACAAAGAGCUGGCGCGCGUCUUGAAGAAGCGGAUGACCGCCGACUUCACGCUCCCGGAGGACCCCGACGCCAAGAAGUACUUGGAGGAGAGCGUCGAAUAUACUUUCCAAGUUUUACAGAUGAAUGGGUUAAACAAGGAGGACAUAGAGCUGGGCGACGAGAAACCCCUGUCGUCUGGACAAUCGCGCAGACAAGUGCGCAAAUUCACAAUGGACAAAAUUCAGGGCAGUAACACACGGAGAAACAUACAGUAUAGGAACGCCCGAAGAAACUUGCAGACCGGGACCAAAGAGAGCCUACUCCCGAUUACACGUGGAAAGCUUCCGCAAUCAGGAGCGGUUCGAAGACAGUACUUGUGGGAAUUCCCGAACGAGCCGUCGAUCCGGGAUAUCAAGGAGCGCGUGAUGGAGGCCAUGCAACAGCAGAUAUAUGCCGCGCAGUAUCGUAUGAGGGAUCUUCAAAAGAUCAUUGACAAGUAUUCUGGUGAUAUCAGGUAUCGUAUCGGAUACAUAUACUGCCGUCUUGAGACACUUUUGUACGAAAUGCAAGUGAUAUGCACCUUUACGAAACGUCAUGACCAAAAGCGAAACGUGAACAUCCACAUAAUAUACCACACGUACUUGGUGAAGAAGAACGUUGAUGUUACGUACAUCGUGGAGCACAUGAUCGAGAUUCACACCAAUUAUAUGGAAAGGUCAAAGGUCACGACACCAGCGAUUUCUGCACAAGGCGCUAAUGCCACUACUCCCGAUGGAACAACAGCGGAAACCACAACCGAUAGCAACCUACCGCCGCAGCAGCAAUGAUCUCAUCACCUUUAUUAAUUUUACAGUCCAUUGCUGAACGUACCCUUCCAGAAGCAUUGUUUUAUCCAGCUAGUUCUUGAGCUCGUCAGGAGAUCGUCUUAUUAUACAGGGUUAUUAUUUGUAAAACACCAAAAACCUCGCAGAUUUACAUUAUAAUUUAGAUAGGUAAGUAUAUUAUUACAUCACUUGCAGCUUUCGUAGGGUAAGUGCGCUAGUUUUCGUCCAAUUAUCGGAGUUGCCAACUUUGUGAUGCGAAAUGAAUAAUUAUCUUAAAAUACCCU